UGCUGCUGUGACAUAAAGCAAAUCAACCACAGGUUGUCAGUGAAAGCGAACUGCAUGACCAGAUAACAAGAACUAAACAAGAACUUUCGAAGAUCACUGAAGAAUUAAAGCAAUUGUGCAACGUCUUAAAGAACAAUUCAAAUGCUGGUGAGCAGGAACCAUCAAAUGUCUGUGAAGCAGAGUCACAGAUGGGAGAACCUGCCAGUCCAAACCCUCAGAAUGAAGAUGGUGUAGAAACUGCCAAGAUGCUCGUCAGAAAACCCAACUGAAGUUCAACAAGAACAUGAAAGUGGAAAGAGUUGUAUCACGAGCACUUCUCAGGACUCCACAAAGCAAAUGACUUAAUCAACAACUACAGAGAUGUAACUGUUGAACUGAGCUGGAUGAAGAUAUGUGAGAAAGAGGGCAAGAGUUCACUUUAACUGGACACAUCCAUCAGUGACAUCUUCAACAUCAGAGCUCCAGCUAUAGCUAAACGUACAAUAUGUGCCUGCUUUCUUUGGUUCCAGAAUAUGUCUGGUGAAACUGAGCAAUCUUGUGUGCUUUUGAGUUAUCUUGACACCCGUGUAAAAUAUGGUGUUUUAGGUGAGGUCAGGAAUGUGAAAAAAGUACUCAAAUUAUUAUUUAGCUGAAUAUUUUCAAGGAUAGCAUUAAACCAAAAUGGAGAAAAGAUUCUUACACUACAAUCAUAUACAAGACAAACACUAUAAUCUGUUACCUCAUUUAGGAAAAACACUAGGAAACUUCACUUUUUUCCCCUUUAUUUGUUGCUAAGAAACUUUACUGUUGUGUUCACUUUGGUUUUAAAGUGGUCUGGUUGUAGUACACUUGCAUCAUUUAGACAAAAAACUAGUCAAAAUGUACACUACUAAUUUUGAAGCUAUUAUCUAGUUAGCUCCUCUUCAGUUUAGAAUGUUUUUUUUUUUUGUCAGCAAAUUUUGAUAUGACAUGAUUACACGUUACAUAUGAUUACAUAUUGUGUAUGUGCUUAAUUCUUGAGUAAAAAUGGCCAGGCUGACAAGCUGUUGUAAAAAAGCAAAGUGGAUGUUUCAAAAUAAAAUAUUAAUUAAUCCAAGUAACGUUUGAAUACUUGACAGAAAUCAUACUUUUCGUUAUAGACAGCCCGCUAAGUGUUCAAUAACCAAACAAAAUGGUUUGUGUGCGUUUUGGUUGAUAAAAAAAAAAUAAUUUUUACACUUUUCAGUCAAUAAUUUAACACUUAGCAAGCUGUCCAUAAGUUAUGACACACUUUUUUCCUGCCAUGUUUGCAAAAUCUUACUUUUAAAUAAAAUUUUUAUUUUGAAACUUUCACCGACAGGAUUCCACUGAAUGGUCGCCAUCUUGUGGUGAGACGCAGAAAGUAAUUUGGCGCGCAAACUCUCACAGACCUCGGUGUAUUUUUGGCGACCGUCACCCGCCCACCUGAGCGUGAUUCUGGCGACUGUAAUACCAACCCCCCUCCCCCUCCCCCAUUUUGCUUUUCCGCGGAUUUUGUAUAGAAUCAGUCAGCUACAUCUGGCAAUAAUGGCUGUGGGGAUUGAGUCCACUUUGUAACGUCUACUAGUCUACUACAGCCUGUGAGUUUAAUUGUUCAUUCUCUAACAUUUAAAUGCAGGUUUCAAUGAUCCUUUAUAUCCGUGCUGUUACUGUAUAACACUAAUAUGCUAAUAUCAACUUCAGCUUUGUGGUCUGAUUGCAUGACUUCCUCAGGAGUAGAAAUUAUUUAGACCGCACGAAAUAUGAUCAGACCACUUAUAGCAACAUUAGUAACCCUUUCUUCCUGUAUCAAAAGUCGUAUUUCAUUUUCAUUCUUUGUAGCAUAUCUAUUUAUUAAUAUGUAAACCGUGUGCCUUUUUGCCAUAUUAUCGACUACACUACACAUAGACAGACUGUUUAUUCUAUAUAUGUUUUAUAUAUUUGAACAUGUUUGUAUAACAUGUCAUACAUAUUUGGUCAUUUUUUCUGAACAAGUUUUUGUCCUAUAAAUUCAUGGCAAAGUUGCUAAUUAUCAUGAUCUGCACAUGCAUAAAAUAUGAGGUCUUUUAUGUUUUUAUAGAUUUUCUGUUUAUUUUUCUGCUGUUCCCACUUAAGCACUAGUCUAGUCAGGGGCAGGGGAGAUACGCACCCUCACUUUUGAGACAGACCAUUUAGAAACAGGUGAUUGAUAAUUAAAUGAACGUAAACUUUUGAAUCUGAUUCAAAGUCUGCUACGCCACUCUACUACACUACAUUAAAGCACUACUCUAGUACACUACAUUAAAAGUUUUAAGCACUUCAUUGAAAGUAUUGUUCUUUAUUUUGUUUGUUUGUGUAAAUGUAUUGCUUAUGCAGACCAGUUGAUUUCAUACAUCAGGACAGCAUUCAGUAUCUCCAAAGAUUUUUUUGUUGUUAUUUUGGGAUUGACACUAAUGAAUAUGAGGUUCAUCCUUCAAUCUGUUCUUUGCUGAAUUUUUGAAAUGUUGUUUAAAUUAAAUAUGUUAAAGAAGAUAAAUGGUGUGUAUUUUAUUUAAUAAA